AUUGAACGCUGGCGGCAUGCUUUACACAUGCAAGUCGAACGGUAACAGGCCACGAGCUUCUUACGAGUGGCGGACGGUUGAGUAAUGCAUCGGAACAUGCCCAGUCGUAGGGUAUCACUACGCGAAAGAGUAGCUAAUACCCCCUACGACCUCUUAAUGACAGCGGGGGACCGUAAGGCCUCUCCCGACUUUGCCCGCCGAUGUCAGAUUAGGUAGUUGGUGGGGUAAAGGCGCACCAAGCCAACGAUCCGUAGCUGGCCUGAGAGGACGACCAGCCACACUGGGACUGAGACACGGUCCAGACUCCUACGGGAGGCAGCAGUGGGGAAUUUUGGACAAUGGGCGCAAGCCUGAUCCAGCAAUGCCGCGUGCAGGAAGAAGGCCUUCGGGUUGUAAACUGCUUUUGUACGGAAAGAAAAGGCGCUGGUUAAUACCCGGGGGUAAUGACGGUACCGUAAGAAUAAGCACCGGCUAACUACGUG
rnacentral:rRNA from 1 species